rnacentral:misc_RNA from 1 species
UUUUUUUUUUUUUUUUUUUGAAGGGGGGAAAAAAAAGGCAAGCUCAACUGGAUAGAGGAAGGAUUGUGAUAGGUUACUCAAGAAAAAUAAAAGAUUCCUUGAAUUUCAUUUGAUGCAAGUAUAUGAAAGAGGGCGCACCUUCUUCAAAAAACGAAGUUCAGUAUUUGUUCUUUCAUUCAAAAGAUCUUUUCCAUCCAGAAUCUGCACAAGAAGAACAAGCAUGAUAGAAUCAAGAAUGGUACUCUAAUGUGAAAAAAUGAGACGGUGGAAAGAGCAGCAGCAUUGUACUUGAAGAUCUACUGAUGAGUAUAAAGAAGUAUGGCAACGAUUUUGGUAAAAAAGAAAAACAAACCCUUUAUCAUACUACCUGUAAAUCAAAGAGCUUGAUAUUUUGCAAGCAACAGGGAAAAUUUUAGUUUGGGACCAAUUAAAAUAUGUUAUUUGUUAAAUAAAUUAAAAUUGACAAGAAAAUUUCUUACAAAAUUUAAUAUGUUAUUAUAAUUAAUUUAUAAUGGACAAAAUUAAAUACCUUAAUUUUCUUGUUAACAAAAUUAACUUGCUAAAAUUAAACAAAA